rnacentral:rRNA from 1 species
AGACAACUCUCAACAACGGAUAUCUUGGCUCUCGCAACGAUGAAGAACGCACGCCGAAAUGCGAUACGUAGUGUGAAUUGCAGAAUUCCGUGAAUCAUCAAAGUCUUUGUAACGCAUAUUGCGCUGAAGGCCUCGGCCAACAGCA